GCUUGCUUUGGCAGUGCAUAUACUAAAAUUAGAAUGAUACAGAGAGUAUUAGCAUGGCCCCUGUGCAAGGAUGACACACAAAUUCAUAAAGUGUUCCUUAUUUUU